UACGGAGGGUGCAAGCGUUAUCCGGAUUCACUGGGUUUAAAGGGUGCGUAGGCGGACAUGUAAGUCCGUGGUGAAAUCUCUAAGCUUAACUUGGAAACUGCCAUGGAUACUAUAUGUCUUGAAUGUUGUGGAGGUUAGCGGAAUAUGUCAUGUAGCGGUGAAAUGCAUAGAUAUGACAUAGAACACCAAUUGCGAAGGCAGCUGGCUACACAAAUAUUGACGCUGAGGCACGAAAACGUGGGGAUCAAACAGG
rnacentral:rRNA from 1 species